rnacentral:rRNA from 1 species
CUUUACUCCAGCUUUGCACUGGCAUCAGGAUUGUGAUGUGCAGGAUAGGUGGUAGGCAUCGAAGCGGGGACGCUAGUUCCCGUGGAGCCUCCCUUGAGAUACCACCCUUCGCACUCUUGAUGUCUAACCGCGGCCCGUUAUCCGGGUCCGGGACCCUGCAUGGUGGGGAGUUUGACUGGGGCGGUCGCCUCCCAAACAGUAACGGAGGCGCGCGAAGGUUGGCUCAGACCGGUCGGAAAUCGGUCGUUGAGUGCAAUGGCAGAAGCCAGCCUGACUGCAAGACUGACAAGUCGAGCAGAGACGAAAGUCGGCCAUAGUGAUCCGGUGGUCCCAAGUGGGAGGGCCAUCGCUCAACGGAUAAAAGGUA